rnacentral:lncRNA from 1 species
AGUUGUAGAGGAUCUUGUUAAAGGGACACUAAAGGCAAAUACUAAGUCGAUGUGGACUGUUUAAAUAUCUUUCCAGAAACCUUGAAACGCUUGUCUCGUGCAAAGAAAAGACUUAGUUUACGA